AGGUGGGGAUGACGUCAAGUCAGCAUGGCCUUUAUGCCUGGGGCCACACACGUGCUACAAUGGCCGGUACAAAGCGCUGCAAGCCCGUAAGGGGGAGCCAAUCGCAAAAAACCGGCCUCAGUUCAGAUUGAGGUCUGCAACUCGACCUCAUGAAGGCGGAAUCGCUAGUAAUCCCGGAUCAGCACGCCGGGGUGAAUACGUUCCCGGGCCUUGUACACACCGCCCGUCACACCACGAAAGUUUGUUGUACCUGAAGUCGUUGGCGCCAACCGCAAGGGGGCAGACGCCCACGGUAUGACCGAUGAUUGGGGUGAAGUCGUAACAAGGUAGCCGUAGGGGAACCUGCGGCUGGAUCACCUCCUUUCUAAGGAG
rnacentral:rRNA from 1 species